rnacentral:rRNA from 1 species
GAUGAACGCUAGCGGCAGGCUUAAUACAUGCAAGUCGAGGGGCAGCACGGUUAGCAAUAACUGGUGGCGACCGGCGCACGGGUGCGUAACACGUAUACAAUCUACCUUAAACAGGGGAUAGCCUUUCGAAAGAGAGAUUAAUACCCGUAAUAAAUUGAACGGCAUCGUUUGAUUUUGAAAGCUCCGGCGGUUUGAGAUGAGUAUGCGUCUGAUUAGCUAGUUGGUGAGGUAACGGCUCACCAAGGCGACGAUCAGUAGGGGAUCUGAGAGGACUAACCCCCACACUGGUACUGAGACACGGACCAGACUCCUACGGGAGGCAGCAGUAAGGAAUAUUGGUCAAUGGAGGCAACUCUGAACCAGCCAUGCCGCGUGCAGGAUGACGGCCCUAUGGGUUGUAAACUGCUUUUAUACAAGAGAAAACCCUGGUACGUGUACCAGGUUGAUAGUAUUGUAAGAAUAAGCAUUGGCUAACUUCGUGCCAGCAGCCGCGGUAAU